rnacentral:rRNA from 1 species
UACGUACGAGGCGAGCGUUAUCCGGAAUUACUGGGCGUAAAGCGCGCGCAGGUGGCUUGCUAAGUCGGACGUGAAAUCUCCCGGCCUAACUGGGAGGGGUCGUCCGAGACUGGCCGGCUUGAGGCUGGCAGAGGUAGGUGGAAUUCCUGGUGUAGUGGUGAAAUGCGUAGAGAUCAGGAGGAACACCGGUGGCGAAGGUGGCCUACUGGGCCAGCACUGACGCUGAGGCGCGAAAGCUCGGGGAGCGAACGGG